GACAGAGGAUGCAAGCGUUAUCCGGAAUUGAUUGGGCGUAAAGCGUCGUAGGUGGCUUUUUAAGUCCGCCGUCAAAUCCCAGGGCUCAACCCUGGACAGGCGGUGGAAACUCCAAGCUGGAGUACGGUAGGGGCAGAGGGAAUUUCCGGUGGAGCGGUGAAAGUGCGUAGAGAUCGGAAAGAACACCAACGGCGAAAGCACUCUGCUGGGCCGACACUGACACUGAGAGACGAAAGCUAGGGGAGCGA
rnacentral:rRNA from 1 species